rnacentral:misc_RNA from 1 species
AGCUCCUUUUUUUCACGAAUCUUGUCAUUUUGUAAGUUACUUUUAUUUAAUGUGUGUUCAAGUGAAUUUUUUCCUUUUUUGUAUUCCUGAUCAUUAUUAUUGAUGAUUUUCUUUCAGGUGACACGAUAGCUCUGUGCGAGCUACAAUGCGAUCUUCGCCCUCACAAAUUCUACUUUGUGAGACGAUAGCUCUGUGCGAGCUACAAUGCAAACUAAGCACUCACA